GACAGAGGUGCCGAGCGUUAGGCGGAAUCACUGGGCUUAAAGCGUGUGUAGGCGGAUCGUUAAGUACCUUGUGAAAUCCCAUGGCUCAACCAUGGAACUGCUUGGUAUACUGGCGGUCUUGAGCCAGCUAGGGGCUACCGGAACAAAUGGUGGAGCGGUGAAAUGCGUAGAUAUUGGGAAGAACACCUGAGGCGAAGGCGGGUUGCUGGGCUGACACUGACGCUGAGGCGCGAAAGCCAGGGGAGCAAACGGG
rnacentral:rRNA from 1 species